GAAACCUCCCACCCUGCUUGGAGUGCCUUUCCAAAGUGAAGCUAGAGGAGGGUUUCUCAAGCCUCUGUUUCUCAUGGGGAGCUUUGGCCUUUGCAAGGUACUCUCAGAAACCACCUCUGGCCUGAAAAGGGGCCGACUGAAACAUAUACCUAUUUGAAGAUCCCUGGCACACAGAUACAGCAGAAGAAGCCCAAAUGUGUUAUCAAACCAUUGAGAGAAACAGAACUUUCCUCAAAGCCAAGAAACAGCUUUCAAAAGGAAGUUUCCCAAAAACUCUUCUAAAAGUACCAGCAUAUCUUCAAACCAAGUAACGUUUUUUUCAAUGCUAUCCUUAACUGUUCUACUUUUAUUUGCUUGUAGAAAAGUGGCACAACCUAGACUGUCAUCGCUAAAGCCAUGACUAAAAUUUUUAGUAUUUUGUAACCACAUCAGAUUUGUGAACAUCUCCCAGUUGAUAUAAUCACUUAUUUACUCGCAUAUUGAGACUGUACCAUAACUUUGUGGUUCAGAUGGAAUUCGUUAGAAAACUAAACUGUUUUUAAAAACGUUAUGUUUUUGUUUUUCUCGUUAUAAAUUUACCUUCACAGUUUGCAAAUGCAUUAGUAUAAUCAUCUGGUAAAAAAAUGGCAACUCUUGAUUUGAUACAUUUUUAAAAAACAAGUACACUCAGGCAAAUUUUAUAAAUUCAAAACUCACAGUGUUUUGUUUUUAUUUAUAUAUUUUUCUUACAGUUUUCUUUGUUUACUUUUAAUAAUUUGUUAGUACAUCCAAUAUCUACCAAGAUGUAAUAAUCAAAUGUUCUAUUUGCAUUGGAAAAACGUUCUCACUUACAUAGCCUAAGGGCUUUAAAAAAGUUUUUCUUUGUAUUAAGAUGAUAU
rnacentral:lncRNA from 1 species